CAUUGGGCCAAUGAGAACCGAAGGGCUGGAGUUCCGGCGGUGGGACUGUCAUUGGCCGCCCGCGUCAGGCCAUACCGGUGGUCUGGGCUGGGGCCCGCGGGUCGGGGCCAGUUUCCAGGAGGUUCCCGGGGCCCGAGGCUGGCGGCGAGGAAGGACCAGAUGGCCUUCGAGGAUGUGGCUGUGUACUUCUCCCAGGAGGAGUGGGGGCUCCUGGACACAGCGCAGCGGGCCCUGUAUCGCCGUGUGAUGCUGGACAACUUUGCACUUGUGGCCUCGCUGGGACUCUCCACCUCUCGACCUCGUGUGGUCAUCCAACUUGAGCGUGGCGAGGAGCCCUGGGUUCCCAGUGGAACGGACACGAGCCUGUCCAGGAACACCUACAGGAGGCGCAACCCUGGUUCCUGGAGUUUGGCAGAGGAUGGAGAUGUUUCUGGAGAAUGGCCACCAGCUUUCCCAGAUACCCCACCUGGGAUGACUACUAGCGUCUUCCCAGUUGCCGGUGCUUGCCACAGUGUAAAAAGCCUGCAGCGACAACGGGGUGCCUCCCCAUGUCGGGAGAGAAAACCCACAGGGGUGUCGGUGAUCUACUGGGAGAGACUCCUGCUAGGCUCGGGCAGUGAGGAGGCCAGCGUCAGCCUGCGACUGACCUCACCACUUAGGCCUCCCGAGGGCGGCCAGCUUAGGGAAAAGACGCUCACAGAGCACCCGGUGCCUGGGAGGCAGCCCAGGACCCCUGAGCGGCAGAAGCCAUGUGCACAGGAGGCCCCUGGGAGAGCCUUCGGGAAUGCCCCGGAUCUGGAGGCCGCCAGCGGUCGGGGGCAUCAUGGAAUGGGUGCAGCUUGGCAGGAGCCUCAGAGACUCCUCGGUGGCCAGGAGCCCUCGACCUGGGAUGAGCUGGGCGAGGCUCUCCCCGCUGGGGAGAAGUCCUUCGAAUGCAGGGCCUGCAGCAAAGUGUUCGUGAAGAGCUCCGACCUCCUCAAGCACCUACGCACCCACACCGGGGAGCGGCCCUACGAGUGCGCCCAGUGCGGCAAGGCCUUCAGCCAGACGUCGCACCUGACGCAGCACCAGCGCAUCCACAGCGGCGAGACGCCCUACGCCUGCCCCGUGUGCGGCAAGGCCUUCCGGCACAGCUCCUCACUGGUGCGGCACCAGCGCAUCCACACGGCCGAGAAGUCCUUCAGCUGCUCCGAGUGCGGCAAGGCCUUCAGCCACGGCUCCAACCUCAGCCAGCACCGCAAGAUCCACGCGGGCGGGCGUCCGUAUGCCUGCGCACGGUGUGGCCGCCGCUUCUGCCGCAACUCGCACCUGAUCCAGCACGAGCGUACGCACACGGGCGAGAAGCCCUUCGUGUGCGCGCUCUGCGGUGCCGCCUUCAGCCAGGGCUCCUCGCUCUUUAAGCACCAGCGCGUGCACACAGGCGAGAAGCCCUUCGCCUGCCCACAGUGCGGCCGCGCCUUUAGCCACAGCUCCAACCUCACCCAGCACCAGCUGCUGCACACGGGCGAGCGGCCCUUCCGCUGUGGGGACUGUGGCAAGGCCUUUGCCAAGGGCGCUGUGCUGCUGAGCCACCGGCGCAUUCACACGGGAGAGAAGCCCUUCGUGUGCACGCAGUGUGGCCGCGCCUUCCGUGAGCGCCCGGCCCUCUUCCACCACCAGAGGAUCCAUACCGGCGAGAAGCCCGUCCGGCGAUCCAGGGCCAGCUUGCACCCCCAGGCCAGGUCUGUUUCCGCGACAUCAUCAGAAGACGCUGACAGGUGGGGUCCUAAUGAGAGCCAACACGUGCUCACUGCCAGCUCCCGUCCUGAGUGCUGGGAAAUUUCUCCUGAAGCCCUGUGAGAUGGCUGCUGUGACUGGUAUCCUGACUUGGAAGAUGAGGAAACUGAGACACAGGGGAAGAUGGUAUUGAACAUACCCUGACAUGCCAUCAGCGUUUGUCAUCACAGAAGUUCCUGGACUUGGCUUCAACCUGGGUACCCUCCAGAGGCCACAGAGUAGAGAUGCAGCCUGUCUGCGGCCCAGGGAGGGAGUGGGAUUCCUGUAUCCUUUUCAGGGCCAGAGGUGGGUUGGGGGAACCAGGAGCUGGAUGAAAUGGGAUAGAGUGGGGCUGCCUGGAGCAGCAGCUCGGCUAGGAGACGAGUCCUGGUGGAUCCUGGCAGUGGGAGGAUGGUAGGUGGAGAAACCAAGGCAGGGCUGUGUCCCUUCUGCUGCUGAGAUAGAGGGCGUGGCCCUGUGGUGACCCUGCAAGGCUGCCUCCAGACCAGUGGGCACUCCGUCCCAUGGCUUCCAAAAUCCUGCAGCUAUCCUGCCGUAUACACAAGGAGCAGAGACUCAGGCUCCACUUACUUGAUAUUGGGCCAGAGUCUUCCACCUGUGAGACCUCACAGGUUCUUGCAGGGAGUGGAGACACACAGGACCCAGCUCCCCUGGAGCCUGCAAGACUUGGGCCACCAGAAUCCCAGUAGGUCCCUGGAACCAUUGUCCUCCACUAAGUCUGCAGAGCUGUGAAAUGCAGACAAUAACCCUUCCCUGCCUGAAGGAGCACUUUUCUGGGGAGCCCGGAGCAAAAACAUCUGUCAAACAAGUAGAUACCCAGAGAGUCGCAUGAAAUCAUUUCUGUGCCUUUGAUAGAUGCUUCUUGAACAAAGUUUCUGCCCUGAGCCCGCCUGACCCCUCAGGCCGGGCUCCGUGCCCUACCUUGUCGUCCCACCAGCCUCCUCGCUCCAUCACGCUCCUUUCCACAUCUGCUUGUUCCCCUGUUGUCCCUCAGUUUGUCCACCCUCUUCCAAUCUCCCCCUCCCCACACCCAUGACUGGUCAGUGGCCCCCAGCCUAGGCUCCCGCCUCCACGCAGGUCUUGGCCCCUCUGCUCUUACUUUUGAGUAGGUAGUGACUGUGAAAGUAUCCCUGGGCUUCUAGGUCAAAAGGUCAGACUGAACACCUGCAUCUCAGUGGGCUCAGAAAUCCACUGAAACCACAGAGGGGAGUAUUUAAAACACACAAACCCACAAGUAUGAGGAUGGUGAAAGGAGUCAGGAGCAAGGGCAUGCCUAAGCUAGACAUGGAUGAGAGCUGUCACUACGUUAGGGAAGGCCAAAUACUGCGUGGCGACUUGGGGAAGUGGAGAGUUCCCACCAGGCUGACUCCAGAGCUGCAGAAGGCUGAGAACCAGCAGCCCAGAGACGGGAGACCUGUAACAAAGCUGCCUGGGGAACAGCUAUUGAGAAGCCCUUAGUGCCCCACUGCUCUCCCCACCUGGUGGAGGGUGAAAGUUUGUUUUCUGAGACUUCGCAUAGUCUCAGAGAAAAGACCUAAGCACCUCAUCCCCAAAAACAACCUGAGGAGGCCUCUGGAAAGCUCCGAGUUGACAGGUCUGACCCACGCACAUGCUCAGUGCUUCCAGUCAGCGAUUAAGGCCGUUGCUUUUCAUCUGGAGCAGGCAGCAGGGAUUCCCAGGUAUCCAAAGAAACCAAAACAGGCGGUGUAAUUUAGGACUGAAUAAUUCGUGGCUCAGCCACUUUAAGUGUGGAAGCAAAACUGACCCCACAUAUACAGAAAACUAACACUGCUUAUUGGGAGACACUAGUGUCACCCUGUCUAGUUCUGCUCCCCAAAUUAAAUAAAAGGUGAACAGUUGAGCACGUCC